rnacentral:rRNA from 1 species
GAUGAACGCUGGCGGCAUGCCUAAUACAUGCAAGUCGAACGAACGGACGAGAAGCUUGCGUCUCUGAUGUUAGCGGCGGACGGGUGAGUAACACGUGGAUAACCUACCUAUAAGACUGGGAUAACUUCGGGAGACCAGAUCUAAUACCGGAUGAUAUUUUGAACCGCAUGGUUCAAAAGUUAAAGACGGUCUUUCUGUCACUUAUAGAUGGAUCCGCGCUGCAUUAGCUAGUUGGUAAGGUAACGGCUUACCAAGGCAACGAUGCAUAGCCGACCUGAGAGGGUGAUCGGCCACACUGGAACUGAGACACGGUCCAGACUCCUACGGGAGGCAGCAGUAGGGAAUCUUACGCAAUGGGCGAAAGCCUGACGGAGCAACGCCGCGUGAGUGAUGAAGGUCUUCGGAUCGUAAAACUCUGUUAUUAGGGAAGAACAUAUGUGUAAGUAACUGUGAACAUAUUGACGGUACCUAAUCAGAAAGCCACGGCUAACUACGUG